UACGAAGGGGGCUAGCGUUGCUCGGAAUCACUGGGCGUAAAGGGCGUGUAGGCGGCUGAAUAAGUGGGAUGUUAAAUCCCCCGGCUCAACCGGGGACCUGCAUCUCAUACUGUUCAGCUCGAGCACAUCAGAGGAGACUGGAAUUCCCGGUGUAGCGGUGAAAUUCGUAGAUAUUCGGAAGAACACCAGUGGCGAAGGCGACUUACUGGACACAUAUUGACGCUGAGGUGCGAAAGCGUGGGGAGCAAACAGG
rnacentral:rRNA from 1 species